rnacentral:rRNA from 1 species
UACAGAGGGUGCAAGCGUUGCUCGGAAUUAUUGGGCGUAAAGGGCAGGUAGGUGGUCUCAUUUGUCAGGGGUGAAAGCCCUGGGCUUAACCCAGGAAGUGCCCUUGAAACGGUGGGACUGGAGUACUGGAGAGGGUCGUGGAAUUCCCGGUGUAGCGGUGAAAUGCGUAGAUAUCGGAAGGAACACCAGUGGCGAAAGCGGCUUCCUGGUCCAGCACCGACGUUCAGGCACGAAAGCGUGGGGAGCAAACAGG